CAGGAAGGACUAAGACUUCGAAGACACAGGUCUUUUCCUUGGAUUUCCUAAGGCCAUGAAGACCGUGGUGUUGGCCAUGGCUCUGCUGCUGCUUCAGUCCCAGGUCAUUCCAGGGGAACAUGAUAGCUGCUCGCAUUCUCAUGGUAUCUGCCGUCACGAAUGCCACUGGGAUGAAGUGAUCUAUUCCGACUGGUGCCCGCAUCACGAGCACUGCUGCGUGUUGGACCACCAUACAACACAUACUUCACAGA